rnacentral:rRNA from 1 species
GCGGACGGCUCAGUAACACGUAGUCAACCUAACUCGUGGACGUGGAUAACCUCGGGAAACUGAGAAUAAACCACGAUAGAUCAUAGUGCCUGGAAUGGCUUAUGGUCCAAACAGUUUACUGCCAUGGGAUGGGACUGCGGCCUAUCAGCUUGUUGGUGAGGUAAUGGCCCACCAAGGCGAUUACAGGUACGGGCUCUGAGAGGAGAAGCCCGGAGAUGGGUACUGAGACACGGACCCAGGCCCUAUGGGGCGCAGCAGGCGAGAAACCUUAGCAAUGUGCGAAAGCACGACUGGGUCAGUCCGAGUGAUUCCUGAUAAAGGAGUCUUUUGCUUGUCCUAAAAGCACAGGUGAAUAAGGGGUGGGCAAGUCUGGUGUCAGCCGCCGCGGUAAUACCAGCACCUCGAGUGGUCAGGACGUUUAUUGGGCCUAAAGCAUCCGUAGCCUGCUCUGCAAGUCUUCGGUCAAAUCCACCUGCUCAACAGAUGGGCUGCUGGAGAUACUACAGAGCUAGGGAGUGGGAGAGGCAGACGGUAUUCAGUGGGUAGGGGUAAAAUCCUCUGAUCCAUUGAGGACCACCAGUGGCGAAGGCGGUCUGCCAGAACACGUUCGACGGUGAGGGAUGAAAGCUGGGGGAGCAAACCGGAUUAGAUACCCGGGUAGUCCCAGCUGUAAACGAUGCAAACUCGGUGAUGCAUUGGCUUAUGGCCA